rnacentral:tRNA from 1 species
GGUCUCUUAGCUCAGUUGGAUAGAGCAAUCGAUUGUCGAUCGAUAGGUCACGAGUUCAAGCCUCGUAGGGACCGCCA